CUAGGCUUUAGCUAUUUAUAGUUCAAUAACGUCACCAAUUGCGGCCCCACCAAGUCUCGCUACUAAUCACAGUGGAGUUCAAUUUUCAGCGUAACCGGAAAAGCAAAGUAGAACACCCUUGACCUAACGCGUUGCCCUAUACAAGGGCCUCAUUUUGUCCUUUCCGUUUUCAAAAUCAGAAUUAGGGUCUGGAAAAUUGGAAGCUGAAAUGUCUGGUAAAGACAGUCGAUAUGAUGCCAAUGUCGAAGACUCGCAUCAAAAGAGUUCUCGGCGGUCAGAUUAUGAAAGGUCCAGGACUACAGACCGAGACCGAGACCAAGACCAUCAUCAUAGGGAUUAUAAGGACAGGAGCUUGAGGGGUGACAGAGGAAGGGGUAAGAAUGAUGAUAAUGAUCGUCAACGGGGCCGAGAUCAUGACAGACACCGUGACUAUGAUCGAGACAAAGAAAGGAGACAUAGGCAUAGAUCACCCUCCCGUUCAAAGGAAACAUCUAGGAACCGAUCUGGAUCACCCUCUCAGUCCCGUUCUCCUUCAAAAAGCAGGAGGAGAAGUGGUUUUGAUAUGGCGCCACCUGUUGCUGCUAUGCUGCCUACUGCUGCCGUUCCAGGGCAACUGCCUGGUACUCCACAAACAACUGCAGGAACAGUUCAAAACAUGCUACCUUUUGGAACAACUCAGUUGGGAGCUCUUCCUUUGAUGCCGAUGCAAGCCAUGACUCAACAGGCUACAAGGCAUGCUCGCCGGGUAUAUGUUGGUGGGCUUCCCCCCUUGGCUAAUGAACAGACAAUUGCAACAUUCUUUAGCCAGGUUAUGGCUGCUAUUGGGGGCAAUUCUGCUGGUCCAGGUGAUGCAGUAGUAAAUGUUUAUAUUAAUCAUGAGAAGAAGUUUGCAUUUGUGGAGAUGAGAACUGUUGAAGAAGCAAGUAAUGCAAUGGCAUUGGAUGGAAUCAUAUUUGAGGGGGUUGCGGUAAGGGUAAGAAGGCCUACGGAUUACAACCCUACAUUAGCUGCAGCACUUGGUCCUGGCCAACCAAGUCCUCACCUUAACUUGGCAGCUGUUGGCCUCGCACCUGGUGCAAUUGGUGGAGCAGAGGGUCCUGAUCGCGUCUUUGUGGGUGGAUUGCCAUACUAUUUUACUGAAGCACAGAUAAGAGAGUUGCUCGAGUCCUUUGGGACCCUCCGUGGCUUUGACCUUGUUAAGGAUAGAGACACUGGGAACUCUAAAGGAUAUGGUUUCUGUGUCUACCAGGAUCCAACAGUGACAGACAUUGCGUGUGCGGCUCUAAAUGGCUUGAAAAUGGGUGAUAAAACUCUAACUGUUCGGCGUGCUACUAUCAGCAGUGGGCAAUCUAAGUCGGAACAAGACAAUAUAUUAGCUCAGGCUCAACAGCACAUUGCUAUUCAGAAAAUGGCCUUGCAAACUGGUGUUAUGAAUCUUCCUGGAGGGGGGACAACACCUUCAGCAUUUGGAGAAAGUCCAGCUAAAGUAUUAUGUUUGACUGAGGCAAUAACUGCUGAUGUUCUGAUGGAUGAUGAAGAGUAUGAGGAAAUACUGGAAGACAUGAGAGAAGAAUGCAGUAAAUAUGGGUGUUCAUGCAAAAAUGCAAUGAUCCUUAAAAGAACUCAGACCCUCAUUGAUUUGUGCAACAUGAACCUCAAAACGAAAAAGAGAGAGAUUAGAACAGCCUAGAUAGCUACAAAAACAAGUACCUCUCAUCUCAACACCACCCCUAGUCAUUUAUGAAAAAUGAAGAAGAAUGAGUUAUCUCGGAUAUCUUUUCUAAUGGAUGCCCAAAUAACAGCAAAAAAUAAUCUGAUCUCUUCCCAGAGUACUAAUUUCUCCUUUGUUCUCUUUAAAGAUUUAGCCAUUUGUUUCUCUCCGAAUCACCCACGGAAGAGUUAGAAGUGUAAGGUUUCAAGGACUUUUAACCUUCCUUUGCCAAAAGUAACAACAUUCUGAACUUUGGUGAAUGUUGUGAUUCCUCGCCCACAUCCAAAUGGAGAGCAGUUUCCAGGCGUCGGAAAG